rnacentral:rRNA from 1 species
CUACGGGAGGCACCAGUGGGGAAUAUUGGACAAUGGGCGCAAGCCUGAUCCAGCAAUGCCGCGUGAGUGAAGACGGCCUUAGGGUUGUAAAACUCUUUCGCUAGGGAAGAUAAUGACUGUACCUAGUAAAGAAGUCCCGGCUAACUCCGUGCCAGCAGCCGCGGUAAUACGGAGGGGACUAGCGUUGUUCGGAAUUACUGGGCGUAAAGAGUUCGUAGGCGGACUGACAAGUUAGAGGUGAAAUCCCAGGGCUCAACCCUGGAACUGCCUUUAAAACUGUCAGUCUAGAGACCGGAAGAGGUUAGGGGAAUACCUAGUGUAGAGGUGAAAUUCGUAGAUAUUAGGUGGAACACCAGUGGCGAAGGCGCCUAACUGGUCCGGUACUGACGCUGAGGAACGAAAGCGUGGGGAGCAAACAGGAUUAGAUACCCUUGUAGUC